CCUACGGGCGGCUGCAGUGGGGAAUAUUGCUCAAUGGGGGAAACCCUGAUGCAGCGACGCCGCGUGAGUGAAGAAGUAUUUCGGUAUGUAAAGCUCUAUCAGCAGGGAAGAAAAUGACGGUACCUGAUUAAGAAGCCCCGGCUAACUACGUGCCAGCAGCCGCGGUAAUACGUAGGGGGCAAGCGUUAACCGGAUUUACUGGGUGUAAAGGGGGCGUAGGCGGCAGUACAAGUCUGGAGUGAAAUGCCGGGGCUUAACCCCGGAACUGCUUUGGAAACUGUGCAGCUAGAGUGCAGGAGAGGUAAGUGGAAUUCGUAGUGUAGCGGUGAAAUGCGUAGAUAUUAGGAGGAACACCAGUGGCGAAGGCGGCUUACUGGACUGUAACUGACGUUGAGGCUCGAAAGCGUGGGGAGCAAACAGGAUUAGAUACCCUUGUAGUC
rnacentral:rRNA from 1 species